rnacentral:lncRNA from 1 species
UCCUACCCAGAGAUCCUGCUUUCUGGAGGGUUUGGCAAGCUCUGAUCCUUGGGAAAGGCAUUGUCAACUGGGAAAAAGAGAAGGAAGAAGUACAGUAUUCAUGGAUGUGGAUGUCAUGCAAGAUGGGCCACCUGAAUCCCAGCUAUUCUCACCUUUACAGCACUGCUGUGUCAAUACAAGCAGUCUGUGUGCCAGCAUCUCUCAAUGCGCAGUGGUCAGAGGCAUACCAGAAUGGUACUGCAGUGCACUGGUAUGGUGCUCCCUGUUAAUCCACCUAGCAAGCACCUGAAAAGACUUAACUACAUGUACCACGCAGGCACCCUGCUGAGACAGUGGGAAUAGGCACAGACCUGUAAUUACCAAGUAAAGACAAUGAAAUCACACGUACUCCCACCACCUGCAGCUCUAAAUGAGGAAAAGUGUUAGUUACACUGUUGUACUUCUAUGGAGUCUCAGGAGAAAAAACAGAGGGCGUAAUGAGCUACUAGACGUGUGAUAAGCUUAUAAGAGGCAGAAUUAAAGUGCAUUCACAAUUUACCCCAAUCUAGUGCUCUGCAAGGAGGGGCUCAGAGGGAAGCGCAAUUAAAUUUUUGCGCCUUCCCUUUAAUUUGGGGAAAUGAAGAGCAUGCCUGAAAGAACAAUUCUGCGUUGUUUCACGGACCUCAGCCCUUUGCCACCCCCAAAUGGAGAGGUACGACAUGAUGAGAGCAAAGCUGCAUGCUGCUUGCACUGGGAACUAUUGCCAUGAUGUUGGAGGGGGCCCGAGUCUGGGUGGCUUGGGCUGAUUUCUGCUUGCUGUUUCCCUUAAGUGUAAAGGCAGAGCUCACAGGAUGGAUAGGACAGCUGCUGUUUGAAGGAGAUCUAUGGAGAAUUUAACUUUAUUCUUACGUGGACUUAGGAAAUCUUAAGAAUAUGAAAACAAUGUUAAAACACGUUCCCAGAAGUUCCUCUGUAAAAAGUUUUCCUAGUCGGAUAGCUGUUUCUUUUCCCCAUGUUUUUUAAUACUCUGUUUUCACUACUUGUACAGGAGUAUUCAUUCUGAAUGCUACCUGUUUGAUUGUUAUUACUUU